GGUCGAGCAAGGAUGAAAAUCGGACUUAGUGAUCCGGUGGUUCUGCGUGGAAGGGCCAUCGCUCAACGGAUAAAAGCUACCCUGGGGAUAACAGGCUUAUCUCCCCCAAGAGUCCACAUCGACGGGGAGGUUUGGCACCUCGAUGUCGGCUCAUCACAUCCUGGGGCUGUAGUAGGUCCCAAGGGUUGGGCUGUUCGCCCAUUAAAGUGGUACGCGAGCUGGGUUCAGAACGUCGUGAGACAGUUCGGUCCCUAUCCGUCGCAGGCGUAGGAAAUUUGAGAAGACCUGUCCUUAGUACGAGAGGACCGGGAUGGACGUACCUCUGGUGUACCAGUUGUCCUGCCAAGGGCAUGGCUGGGUAGCUAUGUACGGAAUGGAUAAGCGCUGAAAGCAUCUAAGCGCGAAG
rnacentral:rRNA from 1 species